UUGAACGCUGGCGGCAUGCCUUACACAUGCAAGUCGAACGGUAGAGGGGCAACCCUUGAGAGUGGCGAACGGGUGAGUAAUAUAUCGGAACGUGCCCAGUCGUGGGGGAUAACGCAGCGAAAGCUGCACUAAUACCGCAUACGAUCUAUGGAUGAAAGCGGGGGAUCGCAAGACCUCGCGCGAUUGGAGCGGCCGAUAUCAGAUUAGGUAGUUGGUGGGGUAAAAGCCCACCAAGCCGACGAUCUGUAGCUG
rnacentral:rRNA from 1 species